CUUCUUUUUCUCAGUUGAAGACUUCCCCUCUCGUCCAAGACUACCGCCAAAUGGAUGCGAUCACCUGCAAGCCGGCAGCCACGACUGCUUCCAACGUCCAAGCUCAGCAGACCGUCGGUGGCUCCACAGAUCGCGCGUGUGUUCAAUUUCGCGGCGGAUCUGCGGACUCUGCUCAACAUCGCGGAGGAUUACGCCGUGCCCUUCCUCUUCUCUUCUCUGGAAGCCGCAGCUGAGAGCUAUGUUUAUUUUUUAUUUUUCAACUCUCCUCCUUCAUUCUUUAGAUCUGUACAAAAGGAGCACUUUUUCGGAGAUUCCUGUUUCAGAUCUACGCUGAGAAUGGAGGAGAUGAGGACAACCUGAGGAUGGUCGCUGCUGUGCCGGUUAAAUCUGUCUACUGUUUUUACUAUCAUUAUUGUUCAUGCAUUCUUGUUUUGAUAAAUGUUUUUGAAAAACAGGGAUUUUCCAUGACAAUGUGCCCAAUUAAGUUUUGGAGUGAUUGUGACUGUAUGUGUCUUAAUUUAAGAUAGACCUAAAUUUGUUUCAGUUGGUUCCGAUGGUGAAAAAUAGAGUAAUUACAAGUAGCAUUUUAAUGAGAACCUUUCUUUGCACCACUCUUUGAACAUGCUUGAAUCCCUUACUUCUAGAAUGUGAUACAAAACAGUAGGUAUUUUCAUCCAUGUUGCUAUCUGUUAGUGGUUCUAUGAUGGUGAUGAACUGAUGAUAAGGUAGUUGAUUCAUCCCGAUAGAAAUUUGAUUCAAUAAAACACUAUUUCAGCAGGGAAGUGAAGCAGUUCAAGGUUUUGUGUCAAAUAUUAUUGUCUAACUUUUAGACAGCUUAAAUUUCUUGGGUGACAAUUCCGUACAUGAAAUAAAUGCUCUCCUGAAAGCAUUAUAUAUGCUUCUGUUGUGCAGAGAAUCAACAACAAACAUUUUCACCGAGAUGACAUGGGAAGGACAUCGCUAUAAGUGGAGUAACAUCAGUCUGCUAUGUUGUGUGCCUCACCCAUGACUUAUUCCUCGAUAUAAUUGUUUUAAUUUCUGGCAUUACUUGUACAAACUUGAAGGGAAAAAGAGAAGGAAGUGUGGAGUGAGGAUCCAGGAGAAGAAUUCAUGGGAGAAAAAUGAGGGAAAGACAACAUUUACAUGUAUAAGGGCGAUGUGGUGGAUGGAUUUUGAGCCUACAUGUAGUCUCCAUAUUGGUUUGGAGGUAUUCAUAUAAAACUUGGUUACUAUCCCGGAUGGAGGAAAAACCUCUGUUCAGCCUUGCGCAUCCUCCCCAAAAAACCCUAGUCCCUUACUCGUCUCUCUCCAGUCUCUUGGGUCUAUCUGACGAUACGAAGGCAUGGACUGUUGACGACGACGGUGCCGUGAGUAGGGCGAUGUUAGCAAUGGCGACGUGAAGCAGAGGCGGCGUGAACAGAUCUCUCUUUAUCUUCCCAUUGCCAGCCAACAAGUAUUUUCUGUUCUCUUCUUCUUUUAUUUUUCAUUCUAUUUCUCUUGAAGGAGAUGCGCCAGGCAAAUAUCCAUCCUCGCUCGGAGCACCAGCAAGCUCGAGAACGCCAAGCGGGAGAUCUGGUUCGCCACCGGCCGCCAAGUCGCAGCUUUGAGCGCCGACGUGCCUUUAAGAAGGCCGUGGAGGAAGUUGGGCGGGUUGAUGUUAUGAUGUGCAAUCAUGGAGUCUUCAUACCGCGGGACUUGUAUACGAAGGAGCUGGAGGAGGUCAAUUGCUAUCAUGUCUUCUAAAGCCGGCCAGUCUUAAUAUCAACGGAUGGGAAUUUAUGAUAAGCCUUGGCUUCCUCGAUGCUGCUUGCGUAUGAAUUGCAAAUGAAAUUGGAAGAGGAGAUGCUAAAGCGGCAAGAUUCUCUAUUAAAGUCCUCGUGUCCACUUCACUUAUAAUCUCCUGAAUGCUCUAUUAAAGAAUAUAAUGGGUAGCAGAUUUUGAGAAACCCAAGGGUAACCCAUCUGCAUUUUUAAGGCCAGCCACAACUGUUUUAUCUCCCUACUUAAAAGUGAGUCAUAUAAAAUUAGCAAAAAUUUUGCAUUUUCCUAGAUCAUUCUAAUUCAUUCUUGUUUCAAAUUUGUCAGAAGUUUUGUUGUCUCUAUUCCAGGUAUUUUAUUUUAUUGCUUCAAUUUCAUUAUCCAUAAUCUAUACCACAUCCUCUAGCUGGUUAUUUAUUUCAGUUGUCUUAAACUGAACUUGGCUUGCAAGAUUUAUUUCAAGAUGAAUACUUGGUUUGCGAAGCAUAGGUCAAUUAUUUUUCAUAAAUAAAUAUAUCUAUUAGUCAUACAACUUGAUAUUAUGCACAUAUUUAUGAAUUGAGCAAGUCUGAAAUUUGUGAAUAAUUUGUUGAUGCUAUAUCACCUGAUGGUUUGAUGAUCCAAUUCCUGAGCUGUUUCUAUGAGGAAUGUUCCUGUCAAUGACGUGUGUGGCCUGUUGGAUUAUUCUUGGAUAUCCAUCAUAUUUGAAAAUAUUCUAUGCAGAAUUUCUUUUAUCAACAUUGGUCCUAAACGAUAUCCUUUACAGUUGCUCUCUGUCUGAACUAGUGAACUGUGUUAAUUAACCUUGAGUAUGUGACUAUGUGUCCCUGAAUGACUCAUGAGGAACAAAGUGAUGCUCCUUCCAGCAUUGGUGCAGCUAAUUAAUACUAACCAUUGGUUUCUUUAGUACAUUUAAUGCCCACUGCAAAUGACCACAUACAGAAGAGAAACAAGAUAUUGACAAAUUUUAUGUGCUCAAAAUCUGUAGUAUAUAUCAUGAGGACUAGCUCUUAUAAACCCUUUACACUCGUCAUUGUCAGGUGGACCCUUAUUACUAGAUAUGUUUUGAUCAAUGAAUCCCAAAAAGAUUUUAAAACUCUUUUGUGGAGACCAAAUAGUGGAAGGACACCCUUUGUCGCCUGCAAGUCAGUGGAGACCAAAUGCUAUGGAUCGGAGCAUUCUUCUUUCUUUUUCCCGCCUGCAGAUUGGGAUGAAAAACCUGAGCUACUACUAAAGCAGAGUCUGAACUGUUGUCUACACAUCCACUUUGAACUUCUCAGUCUUCUACCAUGAAAUUAUGAAUUCCUCUAAAGAGGUAGGUUAUGGUCAAGAAUUUGUACUCUUCCUCCUCUUGGGACUGUCACCUUGCAAAGCAGGCUGAUGAAACCAUUUGAGAGUUAGAUAACUUAAAUGAGGAGAGACGGAGAGCACAUUCAUGCAACUCCUAAGGGAUAACCUUACAUUAUGGACUUCUGAUGCUGUUGAGGAUAGAGGAAAUAAUGUUUCUUGUGAGCAUGCUGCUAGUUCUGGAUUUUACCUGGACAAAUUGUUUUGUCUUUUUUUUUUUUUUUUCAUAUGAAUGAUUAUCUCUCGUAGUAUUUUUAGGAGAUGACUUUUUUUGCUUCAUAAUUUACUUGAGAAUGAUUGUUGUGGAUGAUUAUUAAUUAGAAUAUAUUAGUAUUCGAUGUAUGUAUGAAUAUUAUUAUUGGAUUGAAUUGAUUAUUGCG